rnacentral:rRNA from 1 species
UAGAGUUUGAUCCUGGCUCAGAUUGAACGCUGGCGGCAGGCUUAACACAUGCAAGUCGAACGAUGACUCUCUAGCUUGCUAGAGAUGAUUAGUGGCGGACGGGUGAGUAACAUUUAGGAAUCUGCCUAGUAGUGGGGGAUAGCUCGGGGAAACUCGAAUUAAUACCGCAUACGACCUACGGGUGAAAGGGGGCGCAAGCUCUUGCUAUUAGAUGAGCCUAAAUCAGAUUAGCUAGUUGGUGGGGUAAAGGCCCACCAAGGCGACGAUCUGUAACUGGUCUGAGAGGAUGAUCAGUCACACCGGAACUGAGACACGGUCCGGACUCCUACGGGAGGCAGCAGUGGGGAAUAUUGGACAAUGGGGGCAACCCUGAUCCAGCCAUGCCGCGUGUGUGAAGAAGGCCUUUUGGUUGUAAAGCACUUUAAGCAGGGAGGAGAGGCUAAUGGUUAAUACCCAUUAGAUUAGACGUUACCUGCAGAAUAAGCACCGGCUAACUCUGUGCCAGCAGCCGCGGUAAUACAGAGGGUGCGAGCGUUAAUCGGAAUUACUGGGCGUAAAGCGAGUGUAGGUGGCUCAUUAAGUCACAUGUGAAAUCCCCGGGCUUAACCUGGGAACUGCAUGUGAUACUGGUGGUGCUAGAAUAUGUGAGAGGGAAGUAGAAUUCCAGGUGUAGCGGUGAAAUGCGUAGAGAUCUGGAGGAAUACCGAUGGCGAAGGCAGCUUCCUGGCAUAAUAUUGACACUGAGAUUCGAAAGCGUGGGUAGCAAACAGGAUUAGAUACCCUGGUAGUCCACGCCGUAAACGAUGUCUACUAGCCGUUGGGGUCCUUGAGACUUUAGUGGCGCAGUUAACGCGAUAAGUAGACCGCCUGGGGGAGUACGGCCGCAAGGUUAAAACUCAAAUGAAUUGACGGGGGCCCGCACAAGCGGUGG